rnacentral:rRNA from 1 species
GGGGAGUACGGCCGCAAGGUUAAAACUCAAAUGAAUUGACGGGGGCCCGCACAAGCGGUGGAGCAUGUGGUUUAAUUCGAUGCAACGCGAAGAACCUUACCUACUCUUGACAUCCAGAGAAUUCGCUAGAGAUAGCUUAGUGCCUUCGGGAACUCUGAGACAGGUGCUGCAUGGCUGUCGUCAGCUCGUGUUGUGAAAUGUUGGGUUAAGUCCCGCAACGAGCGCAACCCUUAUCCUUUGUUGCCAGCACGUAAUGGUGGGAACUCAAAGGAGACUGCCGGUGAUAAACCGGAGGAAGGUGGGGAUGACGUCAAGUCAUCAUGGCCCUUACGAGUAGGGCUACACACGUGCUACAAUGGCGUAUACAAAGAGAAGCGAACUCGCGAGAGCAAGCGGACCUCAUAAAGUACGUCGUAGUCCGGAUCGGAGUCUGCAACUCGACUCCGUGAAGUCGGAAUCGCUAGUAAUCGUAGAUCAGAAUGCUACGGUGAAUACGUUCCCGGGCCUUGUACACACCGCCCGUCACACCAUGGGAGUGGGUUGCAAAAGAUAGUAGGUAGC